GCCUGCACUGUUGUGCUGUACUUUAACUGCAGAAGGAGAUUGCAUUGCAGUCUAUCCAUCCACAAGGCGUCCGAGGGCACACGGCUGGGUUGCAUCCCGGACGGGCUGCCUAACGCCGAAUAACACAGGAUUACGAAAUGUGCACGAGAACAAAAGGAGCGGUUGCAAAAGAAUGUAGACGGUCACUGUGAUAUUCAACAUUAA